rnacentral:rRNA from 1 species
UGGGGAAUUUUGGACAAUGGGGGAAACCCUGAUCCAGCCAUCCCGCGUGUGCGAUGAAGGCCUUCGGGUUGUAAAGCACUUUUGGCAGGAAAGAAACGUCGCGGGUUAAUACCCCGCGGAACUGACGGUACCUGCAGAAUAAGCACCGGCUAACUACGUGCCAGCAGCCGCGGUAAUACGUAGGGUGCAAGCGUUAAUCGGAAUUACUGGGCGUAAAGCGUGCGCAGGCGGUUCGGAAAGAAAGAUGUGAAAUCCCAGAGCUUAACUUUGGAACUGCAUUUUUAACUACCGGGCUAGAGUGUGUCAGAGGGAGGUGGAAUUCCGCGUGUAGCAGUGAAAUGCGUAGAUAUGCGGAGGAACACCGAUGGCGAAGGCAGCCUCCUGGGAUAACACUGACGCUCAUGCACGAAAGCGUGGGGAGCAAACAGGAUUAGAUACCCUGGUAGUCCACGCCCUAAACGAUGUCAACUAGCUGUUGGGGUCUUCGGACCUUGGUAGCGCAGCUAACGCGUGAAGUUGACCGCCU